GACGAACGCUGGCGGCGUGCUUAACACAUGCAAGUCGAACGGAAAGGCCCUGCUUUUGUGGGGUGCUCGAGUGGCGAACGGGUGAGUAACACGUGAGUAACCUGCCCUUGACUUUGGGAUAACUUCAGGAAACUGGGGCUAAUACCGGAUAGGAGCUCCUGCUGCAUGGUGGGGGUUGGAAAGUUUCGGCGGUUGGGGAUGGACUCGCGGCUUGUCAGCUUGUUGGUGGGGUAGUGGCUUACCAAGGCUUUGACGGGUAGCCGGCCUGAGAGGGUGAUAGGACACACCGGAACUGAGACACGGGCCAGAGUUCUACGGGAGGCAGCAGUAGGGAACAUUACGCAAUGGGCGAAAGCCGGACGGAGCAACGCCGCGUGAGUGAUGAAGGUCUUCGGAUCGUAAAACUGGGUUAUUAGGGAAGAACAUAUGUGUAAGUAACUGUGCACAGCUUGACGGGACCUAAUCAGAAAGCAAAGGCUAACUACGUG
rnacentral:rRNA from 1 species